rnacentral:ncRNA from 1 species
CCACCGUAAAGCCAAACCCGGAGUAAUCCGGCGACGGAAAGCCACGAGUCCGUAUUCCUAAAAAGUACGGAUCGUCGGGCCGCCUCU